AACCGUAACACAGGUGCUGCAUGGCUGUCGUCAGCUCGUGUCGUGAGAUGUUGGGUUAAGUCCCGCAACGAGCGCAACCCUUGUCAUUAGUUGCUACAUUUAGUUGGGCACUCUAAUGAGACUGCCGGUGACAAACCGGAGGAAGUGGGGAUGACGUCAAGUCCUCAUGGCCCUUAUAGGUAGGGCUACACACGUCAUACAAUGGAUGGUACAAAGGGUCGCCAACCCGCGAGGGGGAGCCAAUCCCAUAAAACCAUUCGUAGUCCGGAUCGCAGUCUGCAACUCGACUGCGUGAAGUCGGAAUCGCUAGUAAUCGUGGAUCAGAAUGUCACGGUGAAUACGUUCCCGGGUCUU
rnacentral:rRNA from 1 species